rnacentral:rRNA from 1 species
ACGCACGCUGGCGGCGUGCCUAAUACCUGCAAGUCGAGCGAAGUUUUUCUGGUGCUUGCACUAGAAAAACUUAGCGGCGAACGGGUGAGUAACACGUAAAGAACCUGCCUCAUAGACUGGGACAACUAUUGGAAACGAUAGCUAAUACCGGAUAACAGUAUUUCUCGCAUGAGAGAUAUUUAAAAGUUGGUUAUGCUAACACUAUGAGAUGGCUUUGCGGUGCAUUAGCUAGUUGGUGGGGUAAAGGCCCACCAAGGCGACGAUGCAUAGCCGACCUGAGAGGGUGAUCGGCCACACUGGGACUGAGACACGGCCCAGACUCCUACGGGAGGCAGCAGUAGGGAAUCUUCCGCAAUGGGCGAAAGCCUGACGGAGCAACGCCGCGUGAGUGAAGAAGGAUUUCGGUUCGUAAAGCUCUGUUGUUAGGGAAGAAUGGAUAUGUAGUAACUAUACAUGUAAGAGACGGUACCUAACCAGAAAGCCACGGCUAACUACGUG